rnacentral:rRNA from 1 species
CAGCCGCCGCGGUAAUACGUAGGGUGCGAGCGUUAAUCGGAUUUACUGGGCGUAAAGCGUGCGCAGGCGGCCCGUUAAGACAGGUGUGAAAUCCCUGGGCUCAACCUAGGAAUUGCGCUUGUGACUGGCGGGCUCGAGUACGGUAGAGGGGGGUGGAAUUCCUGGUGUAGCAGUGAAAUGCGUAGAGAUCAGGAGGAACACCGAUGGCGAAGGCAGCCCCCUGGGCCGGUACUGACGCUCAUGCACGAAAGCGUGGGGAGCAAACAGGAUUCGACACCCUGGUAGUCCACGCCCUAAACGAUGGGUACUAGCCGUUUGGUGCGCGAUAGCGCUGAGUGGCGAAGCUAACGCGUGAAGUACCCCGCCUGGGGAGUACGGCCGCAAGGUUGAAACUUAAAGGAAUUGGCGGG